rnacentral:lncRNA from 10 species
AUGCUCAACAUGCUUUGACUGUUGAAAAGAGACCUUUGGCACACAUUGAAGGGAUGGUGAUGGAGAUGCCAAUCCAUGGAAUCAGGUGGCACAGCUAUGUUGGUAGCUAUAGCAGAAGUCUUCUUGGCAAAGAUUCCUCCAGGGAAGGAAGGUACCAUUGGAGAACCAUGCAUGAAGACAGGGAAGAAAUGAUUGGAAUCAUGAAACAUUAAACUGGAAGGAAGCCCUAGGCAAACCUAACUCAUGGGAAAACAGACACCCACAUGUUACCCAGUUUAGUACCAAAACCAAGGCUGGUAUUUGCAUAAAUAUACUUUUCUUCUCUAUCUAAUAUCAAGGCCUUCUUAGUAUUGUUAAUAGGCCUUAAGCUUGGUUUGUCUACAUAGAAAUCAAAAUAACAAUGUCAACCCAUGAAAGAAUUAAAAGAAGUCCCAAACAGUUCUGAUUUCCUCCAAUGUGACUAUUUCUGAUAUAUUAUAAAAUAACAGAAAUCAAACUC